CGGCGACGGGUGAGUAACGCGUGGGCARCUGCCUSUAGCYGGGAUACCAGCGCGAAAGUGCUGCUAACACCGGAUAUGCUCACAGGGAGACAUCUCCCGGUGAGGAAAGUUUACACUAGAGGAUGGGCMCGCGUCCCAUUAGCUAGUUGGUGAGGUAACGKCCCACCAAGGCGACGAUGSSUAGCCGACCUGAGAGGGUGAUCGGCCACACUGGGWYUGASACACGGCCCAGACUCCUACGGGASGCAGCAGUAGGGAAUUUUCCKCAAUGWUUUUCUAGCCUGACGGAGCAACCCCGCGUAACAAAKGAAGGUGAGGRAGAUAGUUUUUGGGAUGUUAACCCUCUGUSUUCAGGGACGAUAAUGACGGURCCUGAGGAGGAAGCCACGGCUAACUACGUGCCAGCAGCCGCGGUAAUACGUAGGUGGCGAGCGUUGUCCGGAAUUACUGGGCGUAAAGGGCGUGUAGGCGGCCUUUUAAGUCAGAUGUGAAAUCUCAGGGCUUAACCCUGAAACUGCAUUUGAAACUGGAGGGCUUGAGGAUCGGAGAGGGCAGUGGAAUUCCCAGUGUAGCGGUGAAAUGCGUAGAUAUUGGGAGGAACACCAGUGGCGAAGGCGACUGCCUGGACGACACCUGACGCUGAGGCGCGAAAGCUAGGGGAGCGAACGGGAUUAGAUACCCCGGUAGUCCUAGCCGUAAACGAUGGGUUCUAGGUGUGGGAGGUAUCGACCCCUUCCGUGCCGCAGUUAACACAAUAAGUACCCCGCCYUGGGGA
rnacentral:rRNA from 1 species